rnacentral:rRNA from 1 species
CGGACGGGUGAGUAACGCGUGGGUAACCUGCCCUGUACAGGGGGAUAACAGUUGGAAACGACUGCUAAUACCGCAUAAGCCCACGGUGCCGCAUGGCACAGAGGGAAAAGGAGCAAUCCGCUUUGAGAUGGCCUCGCGUCCGAUUAGCUAGUUGGUGAGGUAACGGCCCACCAAGGCAACGAUCGGUAGCCGGACUGAGAGGUUGAACGGCCACAUUGGGACUGAGACACGGCCCAGACUCCUACGGGAGGCAGCAUG